UGAGGCUGAAAAAUGAUGGCAUAGAGAGUAUGGGGGUCUUUGUAGCAAAUGGAAGUAGGGCAGCAACAAUUAAAGUAGGCAGAGCAAGUGUCCCACUGUCCCACACAGGCUGCCCUGUAAUCACCCCCGCGUGCAGCAGUGUUGGGAGGGGGAUUAUCAAGUUGGAGACUGACAGGAGGGACCACACAGGGACACAGUUACUAGGGCAGAGGAACAAAUAAAAGAAACAAAAGCAGAACAAUUAAAACAAUGGUCUUCAGAUUGACUUGAUAUAAUCUACCUAUCCCACUGAAUUUGAGUCCUGUUUAAAGACCUCCAAUAAGGAAACAGAGCCCUUAGAGCAUUAGCUCUAUGUACUUUCUAGGGGGCCACAGGGCUUGGCUUCCCACACGGAAAUACCCAAAUACCCAGGUAGUGAUACACUUCAAAGGAUCUAUCAUUGAAUGUUUAAAAUUCUGUGGUCGGAGAGGAGGUGAGUCCUACACAAUAGGCACCCUGUUUUGAGGGAGUUUUAUUACAGAAACUCUUUGUUGACCAUAAAAGAAAAAAAUGAGUCUUUUAUCUGAAAAUCUGAGUUUAAGGAGUCUUUCUGCCUCUUAGAUUACAGGCAAGCUGUACAACCUUGCUGCUCCUUCCCCGUCCCAGACGUCUCCUUGUUGGGUGAAGUAAGCAUGUAUGUGUACGUUCCCCAGCAGAGGUUUGCGUGGAGAGGAAGGAUGUGAAAUUACACGCACCUGUGAAGGUCUGAGACAGGACAGCAUCUCUGUUUUUCCACGUUUGUUGAUCAGUUAUGAGGCUCUGAUCACUUGAGCUGCAGAGAGGAGAAAAGAAAGAAGUGAGGGAUCUCUGUUCUCAGGGCACACUGAGACCCUCUGUGAGACCAACCAGGCAUGGAGAUGCACGUUUGCUAUGGGAAUAAAAGACAGGGGUGACUCCAUGGGAAUGGACAUGGGGAGGGUCAGGAAAGGCUUCAGACAAAAGGAGGCGUUUGAGUUGGGUAGUGAAGGACAGGUAGUGGGUUUGCUGGGUUUUUUAAUUUGUUUUUGUUGUUUUUCGUGGGGAGGUAGGUAAUUGGGUUUACUUAUUUAUUCUUUUUAAUGGAGGUACUGAGGAUUAAACCCAGGACCUCAUGCAUGCUAGGCAUGCACUUUAACAUUGAGCUGUUCUCUUCCCCUGACAAGUAGCAGUUUUGAAGCCUGGACCAAGGGCAUUCAAAGCAAAAAGAACCUCAAGAGAGAAGGCCUGGUGGUACGAAUGGGCUUACCAGGCUUGGGAAACUGACAGGGAGCUGCUUGGCCAAGAUUAAUGGUGCAGAGUUGGAGCCAAGGAGACCAGGACAUUAUACAGGGUUUACACUGGAAAUCCUUUGUCCUGUAGAAAGUGUGGAGCUGGGGUUGGGGUGGAGGAUUUUGAGUAGGUGAAUAAUGUGGUUGGGUUUGUGUUCAUGAAAAAUCACCUGCUAGCAGUGUGGAGGAUGGAUUUCAAGGAGAGCUCCCCGAAUGCAGGAGGAGAGUAUUGAAGCUGCUGCUGUGGUCCACGUAGGAGAGAAGGAGGGCAGUGGGCACGGGGGUGCAGAGGAGGGAAACAACCUGAGAGACGGGUAAGAAGUAGACCGACUGAGACUUAGCGACUGGAAGUGAGGAGACACUGAGUGACAGUUCAGGAGGCAAGGAGGAGCCGAGAUUGUCUGAAGUUUCUGGCGGAGGUGACUAGGAGAGUAAGAGCACUGCAAACUCUGACAGAGAAGAAAGAGGAAGGGAGCCCCACUUUGAGGGGUUGGGAGAAGCAGUUGAGUGGUGUUUGGGGACAUGCUGGGGGAGAAGGUGACUUACGGAUGGCGGAUGCAGCGCCUCGCAGAUAUUUGGAAGCACUGGCCUGGAACUCGGGUGAAAGGCUGGCUGGAAAGAUCAGAUGCUGCUGGUAUUCUAGAAGAAGGGAAUGUAGUACCGGAAAUCACAGAAGAACACAGUUUGAGAAAGAGUGGUCAGUAUUAAAAAUACUGAAAAGAAGACGAGAGAAGAAGUGAAAAAGCCCCCUUGGACUUGACCACGUCUUGGCCAGUGUGGUGUCAGUGGAGCUCUGGUGUUGAAAGCGGAGUUACAGCAGGCUGCGGGCGGAGGGCAGGGGGCAGGCCGGAAGCCAGCGCAGGUGCCCAUUUUAACUCGGUUUGGCUGGAAGAAGAAACAAAGACCUGGAAGAUAAGGGAUCCAGGGGGUCAUGGUUAAAGCAAGGUUUUGAAUUUUAGCCUCCACAUGGCUACUAAUUGAACCCCCAUCCCUACCCCAGUGUCAGAGCUCUGCCUGAAGCUGAGAAAUAGUGGAACCCUGUGAAGCACCUGACAGCUUUUCAUAAAAGACUAUUCAUUAUUUCUAAAUAACUACAUUUUUAAAAUAGUUUCAGGAUGCUUGUUUUGAGAGUCCUGUUUUAAUUCACCCACCCCUGCAAUGAGAUAUGUUCCUUUCCAGAAACCCCGGGGAGUCGUCAUUCAUCCUCUGCCACAGUUAAAUAAGUGAUGUCCUUUGCUGUUGAGUCGAGUCGGGUGGUGGGGUGCUGUCCUGUGACUCACGCGUUCCCAGUCACAGCAUGUCGAGCAACACACUUGGUGCGAGAGCCUAAUGCUGCUGCCGGGGAUGCUGUCACCAAACUUGGAUUUUCCUCAAUGGGGCCGGAUUCCUGUCACCACGCAUUUUCUUCAUGCCACGCUCUGAGGCACUUCUCAAUGAAACGUUUGUCCCUUUUUUCCUUUAUUAUGUCUAGAAUGGUAUCGUCUCUGACAUAGCGUUGCAUUUUACUGCCGAAUAUUUAUCUCUGGUUCUCAGUUGGAUUUUCAGUGUUCAUUGGAGUCCUUGCAUCUUUCUUUUUCCCCAACAAAGAAUGCCUUGGAAGGUCUUCUGUGCCUGGUACCCCUCUAGACUGCCUCAAGGGAAGCCGGCAGCAUCCCCAGAGCAUCUUACGAAGCAGAUGGCUCUGACAAGAGGGAGUGCCAUGUCCCUCAGAAAGGCAGAGAGGUCCAGCGCCCUGGAUAGGCUGCUCCCUGCUCCCCCUACGCUAAUUGUCAUCUCACAAGGCAAGGAGACCAAUUGUUCUGGCGUCGCCCUGGCCAGACUGACUGUGGAAGAAGUAUCAAGCUGCCAGCUCUUCUGAGUUGGCCAGGAAUCUGUAUCCCAGCACUCAGUGGGGGGAAUCAAGCCAAUUUGGGGUUUGUUUUGCUGCCUCAGAGAUGUCGGCAAUGGACUUACUUAACAGAGUGGCAGUGUUAAGACUAGUGAGAUGACUUGAAGAUCUGUGACCGUGGUUGGAAUUUCGACCCAUGAAAGUGUGAUUUGCUGCAGAAAUGGAAGUUCUCCUGUUAAAGUGGGCCUGUGGUCCUUGGCCAUUUAGCACAUCAUUGAACUUACAGUCUUUCUUCUUUUAUUUACUUGGAACUGAAGUGAGGAAGAAGAAUGUGAUAUCAAUAUACGGGAAAGCUCUGUGGAAGACAUUUCUGGACACGUUGAGGAAACAGGAUUAGACUUUGGCAGUGGCUUACAGUGGCCCUAAGGAGACAGGGACAGGUGGGGCUGUCCUCCUUGCUCUGGCUGCAGAAAGUGAAGCAAAAAACCACUUACCUGGCUUGUGUAAGGCUCUACAUGGUUGGUACUCAAAUCUAGGACAUCCAACUGGCCUGUUGCCUCACAUGUAAAGUGACACAGGCCGAAAGGGCCAGAAGCUGACAUGAGCAAACCUUUCCCCAGGUCUGGACUGCUGUUAGGAGUGUGUUGUGCAAAUGACAGCACCCACGUAUAAAAAGGCGCUUCCUCCUGGCUGAACAAGGCACCCAGCUGGGUGGGCAGAAUCCCGGCAGGGUUUCAGGCACCAGGGUGACCCCACUGUGCACACAUCUUUACACAAAGCACAUGACGCACCGCCACGUGUGGAGGACCGAGAUGGGCAUCUGUCUUGACAAAGGAUUAUUCACAUGUCUGUGUGACCAGUUGAGCCAAAUUGUUAUCUUCUUGCCCAUUUUAUUCCCAACCUAAAAACAAAAAAGUUCAGCCAUUAAAGGACUGUACGUACCCCACCUUCCCAGGAUUCUUAAGGAGCUCCAUUCUUUGAUCCAUUUUGCUCUCCCUGCACACACACCCCCGCCCUUCCUCUCUGACUCUGCUACAGCAAAUGGGAGGGCCGCCGCCUGCCCACAGGACGAGGUCUUGGAAGCCGUCGUUUCCUCUUCCAUCCCCUCCAGGCCGUUCCCGGCGUGUUUUUUGUGGCACUGGAACAGGAAGGCACAUUGAAUAGCAGCGCUGAAAAGGCACUUUGUUGUUUAUGUUAUUACUGUGGGUUUGUCUCUGCCUAAUAAUUAGCGUUUCCGGCUUUCUGAAUUUAUUUGCCAAAAUAUUUGCAGGGCUUUCGUGAACAAAUAAGGGAGGUUUCUAGACAUAACUGACCACUGCCUUGCAGGCUGAGCAAACUCCUUGGCUGAGUUUGGAACGGGGGAGGGGAGGCAUGGAUUUGUCCAGGGAAAGAGCAUCCUAGUAAGGGAAAAACUUUCCAAGUCACUAGCUGGCGUUGGUGGUGUCUGAACAGCCACUGUCCAGGCAAGUUGAAGAAAUGGGAAGAGCGU